UCCCCGUUACCGGGGCAGUCUAGCUAGAGAAAUACAACUAACUAUAAGGGUUGCGCUCGUUAAUGGACUUAACCAAACAUCUCACGACACGAGCUGACGACGGCCAUGCAGCACCUGUCACUGCGGCCCGAAGGCACAUUCACCUUUCGGUGAACUAGGCAGGAUGUCAAGCCUUGGUAAGGUUCUUCGCUUUGCAUCGAAUUAAACAACACGCUCCACCGCUUGUGCGGGUCCCCGUCAAUUCCUUUAUGUUUUAGCCUUGCGGCCGUACUCCACAGGCGGGAUGCUUAACGCGUUAGCUUCGCUACUAGAAGGGUCGAUACUUCUAACAGCUAGCAUCCAUAGUUUACGGCGUGGACUAC
rnacentral:misc_RNA from 1 species